CCCUAGCCCUGAUAGGAAUGGUUACCCCGCAGCUUGCAUUGGAGAGUGGGUGGGUUGGAGCAUGGGACAGCGCAAGCGCGAGGAGUAUGAAUGGAUAGCAGGAUAAAGC
rnacentral:sRNA from 1 species